rnacentral:rRNA from 1 species
CUCGGAUCAGGUAGGGAUACCCGCUGAACUUAAGCAUAUCAAUAAGCGGAGGAAAAGAAACCAACCGGGAUUGCCUCAGUAACGGCGAGUGAAGCGGCAAGAGCUCAAAUUUGAAAGCUGGCUCCUUCGGGGUCCGCAUUGUAAUUUGCAGAGGAUGCUUCGGGUGCGGCCCCUGUCUAAGUGCCCUGGAACGGGCCGUCAGAGAGGGUGAGAAUCCCGUCUGGGAUGGGGUGUCCGCGCCCGUGUGAAGCUCCUUCGACGAGUCGAGUUGUUUGGGAAUGCAGCUCUAAAUGGGUGGUAAAUUUCAUCUAAAGCUAAAUACUGGCCGGAGACCGAUAGCGCACAAGUAGAGUGAUCGAAAGAUGAAAAGCACUUUGAAAAGAGAGUUAAAAAGCACGUGAAAUUGUUGAAAGGGAAGCGCUUGCGACCAGACUCGCCUCCAGGGUUCAGCCGGCAUUCGUGCCGGUGUACUUCCCUGGGGGCGGGCCAGCGUCGGUUUGGGCGGCCGGUCAAAGGCUCCCGGAAUGUAGUGCCCUCCGGGGCACCUUAUAGCCGGGAGUGCAAUGCGGCCAGCCUGGACCGAGGAACGCG